rnacentral:rRNA from 1 species
UGGGGAAUUUUGGACAAUUGGGCGAAAGCCUGAUCCAGCAAUGCCGCGUGUGUGAAGAAGGCCUUCGGGUUGUAAAGCACUUUUGUCCGGAAAGAAAUCCUUGGCUCUAAUACAGUCGGGGGAUGACGGUACCGGAAGAAUAAGCACCGGCUAACUACGUGCCAGCAGCCGCGGUAAUACGUAGGGUGCAAGCGUUAAUCGGAAUUACUGGGCGUAAAGCGUGCGCAGGCGGUUUGCUAAGACCGAUGUGAAAUCCCCGGGCUCAACCUGGGAACUGCAUUGGUGACUGGCAGGCUAGAGUAUGGCAGAGGGGGGUAGAAUUCCACGUGUAGCAGUGAAAUGCGUAGAGAUGUGGAGGAAUACCGAUGGCGAAGGCAGCCCCCUGGGCAAUACUGACGCUCAUGCACGAAAGCGUGGGGAGCAAACAGGAUUAGAUACCCUGGUAGUCCACGCCCUAAACGAUGUCAACUAGUUGUUGGGGAUUCAUUUCCUUAGUAACGUAGCUAACGCGUGAAGUUGACCGCCUGGGGAGUACGGUCGCAAGAUUAAAACUUAAAUGAAUUGACGGGGUCAUAGCUG